UGUUUUCCUUGUAUCACACAUGCCAACUAGAAAAAACAGACCGUCAACAAGAGGAAAACUGCAGUACAUCACUCCUAGUAGUUGACAGAAGAUAAAAUGUUAGUAAGGAUAGAGAAGACAAUAAUAGAUUUUAAAUACAUAAAAUAUACAAAGAAUAUUGAAUACAGCAAUUAGUGAAAUACUAAACAAUUCUAAAAACUGAAAAGGUUAUAGAAAUAGCCUCAGAAAAUUACAAAGAGCUGGAAUGAAAGAUAAUGUACUUUUAAUGAUGCAUUUAGAAAUUAGAAAUAUUUUUAAAAUAUAACUAUAAUGGACAAAGAAAUGUGGUAUAAAAUACAUAAUGGAAUACUAUUGGGCCUGAAAAAAAAGAAGGAAAUUGUGUCAUAUGUGACAACUUGGAUGGAGUAGAAGAUGUUCGGAAGAGGUGACAGCAGCUGCUAUAAAACUCAGGAACCAACCUUUCAGGAAACAUUCAAUGGUAGUGCGGCAGUGUUGGGCUACCCUGAAGCUGGCAUUUGGAGAGAACACAAAGAGAUGCCUGAGGAUUCCAGCUGCUCUAGUGUUCCCAGUCCAGGGUCCAGACAUCCAUGGGCUAACUGAAGAUGAUUCCAUCCCCCGCCUGCCAGCCCCCUGCUGAUGCUGAAUGGAGCUGAGUGGAGCAGAGAGGAGCUGUCUCCACUGGGCCCUGGCCAGACUGUAGAUUCAUGAGCCAAACAAACAGGGCCAGUUGCUUUAGGACACAAAGUGUUGGAGUGGUUGGCUAUGCAGCAGCAGAUAACUAGAUCAACUGCCAUAUCUGUGUGGAGGACACUGAAUGAAAAUGGCAAACCCCAUCUGCCCAAAGGGUAAAAGAAUGAGAACUACCAGUUCAAACAGUAUGGCUUCUUUAAAAACCAAAAUGAUUGCACUGUGUUUCACCCCAAAAGAAGCAAGCAGCAUCCCUGAAAAUUGAAUUCGAUUUUAGAAUUCAAGUACAUUUUUCCACCAACCAACAAUGCUGCUGAGUGAAUAUGCUUAUAAAUCCAUUAUUUACAAAAAAAAGCUUCUCUGGUAUUUUUGUUUUUAAUAUUUUCAAAGGAUGUCUGAGCUGCAGGUUAAUAACCUCUGCUUACCAAGAAAAUUUACUCAAUUACUGUAUCUACUUUCAUUUUAGUCUAUUUAUGUUGGUAUCUACAGGGUUACCUUGGGGAUCUUCAAAUAAAGUAGAACCAAAAUGAUAUCACUGGGGUUUACAUAUUGCCAUAUACUACUUGAUGUCAGCCAGAAAGUAACCAGAUUUUAGAGUUAAGUAAAAUUCCUGCUCAAUUAUGUAUUGUGUGGCCUCAAACAAGCCAUAUAAUUUUGCUUUUAUGGAUCU